rnacentral:rRNA from 1 species
AAACCAACAGGGAUUGCCUUAGUAGCGGCGAGUGAAGCGGCAAAAGCUCAAAUUUGAAAUCUGGCUCUUUCAGAGUCCGAGUUGUAAUUUGAAGAAGGUAUCUUUGGGUCUGGCUCUUGUCUAUGUUUCUUGGAACAGAACGUCACAGAGGGUGAGAAUCCCGUGCGAUGAGAUGAUCCAGGCCUAUGUAAAGUUCCUUCGAAGAGUCGAGUUGUUUGGGAAUGCAGCUCUAAGUGGGUGGUAAAUUCCAUCUAAAGCUAAAUAUUGGCGAGAGACCGAUAGCGAACAAGUACAGUGAUGGAAAGAUGAAAAGAACUUUGAAAAGAGAGUGAAAAAGUACGUGAAAUUGUUGAAAGGGAAGGGCUUGAGAUCAGACUUGGUAUUUUGUAUGUUACUUCUUCGGGGGUGGCCUCUACAGUUUAUCGGGCCAGCAUCAGUUUGGGCGGUAGGAGAAUUGCGUUGGAAUGUGGCACGGCUUCGGUUGUGUGUUAUAGCCUUCGUCGAUACUGCCAGCCUAGACUGAGGACUGCGGUUUAUACCUAGGAUGUUGGCAUAAUGAUCUUAAGUCGCCCGUCU